rnacentral:rRNA from 1 species
AAUCUGCCUGGUAGUGGGGGAUCCCCCUCAGAAAUUUGGAUUAAUACCGCAUACGCCCUACGGGGGAAAGCAGGGGAUCUUCGGACCUUGCGCUAUCAGAUGAGCCUAUGUCGGAUUAGCUAGUUGGUGAGGUAACGGGUCCCCACGGCGACCAUCCGCAGCUGGUCUGAGAGGAUGAUCAGCCCCACUGGGACUGUGACACGGCCC